CAAGUCGAACGAGAAAGUGGAGCAAUCCAUGAGUAAAGUGGCGUACGGGUGAGUAACACGUGGAUAAUCUACCCUCUAGUGGGGAAUACCGCUGGGAAACCGGCGACAAUACCGCAUAAGCUCGAGAGAGGAAAGCAGCAAUGCGCUGGAGGAGGAGUCCGCGGCUGAUUAGCUAGUUGGUGAGGUAAAGGCUCACCAAGGCAGAGAUCAGUAGCCGGCCUGAGAGGGCACACGGCCACACUGGCACUGAAACACGGGCCAGACUCCUACGGGAGGCAGCAGUGGGGAAUCUUGCACAAUGGGGGAAACCUUGAUGCAGCGACGCCGCGUGAGCGAUGAAGCCCUUCGGGGUGUAAAGCUCUUUCGGCAGGGAAGAUGAUGACGGUACCUGCAGAAGCAGCUGCGGCUAACUACGUGCCAGCAGCCGCGGUAAUACGUAGGCAGCAAGCGUUGUUCGGAGUUACUGGGCGUAAAGGGUGUGUAGGCGGUUGGAUAAGUGUGGUGUGAAAUCUCCCGGCUUAACUGGGAGGGUGCGCUACAAACUGUCUGACUAGAGUGUGGGAUGGGUAAGUGGAAUUCCUGGUGUAGCGGUGAAAUGCGUAGAUAUCAGGAGGAACACCGGUGGUGUAGACGGCUUACUGGACCAUAACUGACGCUGAGACACGAAAGCGUGGGUAGCAAACAGGAUUAGAUACCCUGGUAGUCCACGCCCUAAACGAUGCAUAUUUGGUGUGGGUCAUUCAUUUGAUCCGUGCCGGAGCUAACGCGUUAA
rnacentral:rRNA from 1 species